rnacentral:rRNA from 1 species
AUUGAACGCUGGCGGCAGGCUUAACACAUGCAAGUCGAGCGGGGGGAGGUAGCUUGCUACCUAACCUAGCGGCGGACGGGUGAGUAAUGCUUAGGAAUCUGCCUAUUAGUGGGGGACAACAUUUCGAAAGGGAUGCUAAUACCGCAUACGCCCUAAGGGGGAAAGCAGGGGAUCUUCGGACCUUGCGCUAAUAGACGAGCCUAAGUCGGAUUAGCUAGUUGGUGGGGUAAAGGCCUACCAAGGCGACGAUCUGUAGCGGGUCUGAGAGGAUGAUCCGCCACACUGGGACUGAGACACGGCCCAGACUCCUACGGGAGGCAGCAGUGGGGAAUAUUGGACAAUGGGCGGAAGCCUGAUCCAGCCAUGCCGCGUGUGUGAAGAAGGCCUUUUGGUUGUAAAGCACUUUAAGCGAGGAGGAGGCUACUAGUACUAAUACUACUGGAUAGUGGACGUUACUCGCAGAAUAAGCACCGGCUAACUCUGUGCCAGCCGCCGCGGUAAAAC